rnacentral:tRNA from 1 species
CUGAGCCACAAUCCCAGCCCCCUGAAGUUUCUUCAUCCAGCCUGCCAUGUGUCAGGCAUUGUGUUAGAAGCUGGCAUGGUCACCAGUCUCUGGGAUCCUUCAGUGUAGUGACUAUGCUUUUUUGUCCUUAUGGCCCAAAUGUUGAUAGGAUACUUGAGUGGCUGCCAUAAGUUAAGAGCUCCAUAAAUGCUUAUGAGCAUGUAUGUAAAGGUAGAGUAAAGGGGCUAGAGGUAAAGCUUAGUGGUAGAGUGCUUGCCUACCACUGUAUAAGACCCUGGGUUUGGGGCUGGGGUUGUGGCUUAGUGGUGGAGCACUCACCUAGCAUGUGCGAGGCCCUGGGUUCCAUCCUCAGCACCACAUUAAAAUAAAGGUAUUGUGUCCAACUACAACUAAAAAAUAAAUAUUUUUUUUAAAAAAAAAGACCCUGAGUUUGAUCUCCAGCUCUGAAGACCCUGCAAAACAAAAUCUUUUUGCUUAAAGGCAAAGUAAAGUAAGAUUUCUUGAUUGUGUGGGUUCCUGUUCCAUUCCUGUUCUUUACAGUUUUUACAUAAGAAUGAAUGUUGUCUUAUUAUCUUAUUAAAAUUACUAGAAUUUGUAUGUGAAUGUGUGUGUGUUGCUGGAGAUCAAACCCACGGCCUCACGCAUAAGGUUAAGUGCCCUACCACUGAAAUACAUCCCCAUCCCAUUUUUGGGCUGUUGUUGAUAGAAUCAUAGGAUUGUUAUCAUUUAAUGAACAAAACACCCAUCUUCAAAUCUCAGAGAAAAAAACACUUUUGCGCAAAAACUCUAGCUCACAGUGGAACACUGUGGGCUGUGGGCUGUGUGGUGCUUUUCCUCUUGGUGAGUUUGUCCCUUGUGGAGGAUUUGGAGACACAUGGACCUCAGGUGCCACACACAUUGUGAGGCUGAAGACAGUCAAAACGGCAAAAUCCCUGUAGAGGGAGGAAAAAGGGGUCAGUAUGGACUCUUCCGCCAAGAGGAAGUACAGUCCCCUCAAGGUGAGCUCUGCCCUGCUCCCUGCUUCAUCAGCUGUCCACUAACUGGUGAACCUCUGGCGAGGUUCAUUUGCUAACUCUUUCUUCUGCGCGGCCAUAUUCACCACCAGGGGGCGCUGUUGCCCCCCGCCCCCGCCUGUCUCCUUUGGAUCCCAGGGCCACCUUCCCAUUUUUACCUACAGAGGGAAGCAGAGAGCUUCAAACCGCCCAACCCAACCCCGCCCCCGCUCGCCAGCACUCCACCCCCACACCCCC